rnacentral:rRNA from 1 species
GACGAACGCUGGCGGCGUGCUUAACACAUGCAAGUCGAACGAUGAAGCUAGAGCUUGCUCUGGUGGAUUAGUGGCGAACGGGUGAGUAACACGUGAGUAACCUGCCCCGAACUCUGGGAUAACUGCUGGAAACGGUAGCUAAUACUGGAUACGACCAACGAAGGCAUCUUCUGUUGGUGGAAAGAAUUUCGGUUCGGGAUGGACUCGCGGCCUAUCAGCUUGUUGGUGAGGUAACGGCUCACCAAGGCGACGACGGGUAGCCGGCCUGAGAGGGUGAUCGGCCACACUGGGACUGAGACACGGCCCAGACUCCUACGGGAGGCAGCAGUGGGGAAUAUUGCACAAUGGGCGCAAGCCUGAUGCAGCGACGCCGCGUGAGGGAUGACGGCCUUCGGGUUGUAAACCUCUUUUAGCAGGGAAGAAGCGAAAGUGACGGUACCUGCAGAAAAAGCACCGGCUAACUACGUGCCAGCCGCCGCCGUAA